AACCACUGCAGAAAAGCUGAUCUAAACAAUGAUUUUUUUUUUUUGUACUUCUAGUCACUACCCUCAACAGGACUUUCAUGAAGGCUUCCCUCCUUGGGGGUUAAGAUCUGAAGUUAGUCAAGAAUGGACUUCAAGUGAUGGAUGAAUUUGCUGUGUCCCUGCUAAGUUGCAGUCUCGGGCGUCCGAUAGGGAAAGAUCAUGGUGGUUCUAUAGCUUCAGAAGUGCCCAGUGUCCCAUGGUGAGAAAAGCAGACCUGGGUGUUAAUGCAAUACAAAACAUGAGAUGUUAAAGCCGGAUGUAUGGCGUGAUUGAGAUUACAAGUCUAAUGGCAGUUUCUGUGCAUGUGUAACAAUCUACAUAUUUAUAGAUGGACUCCACUUAGUCUAUUACUGAAACCAGGUUCUUGGCCAUAUUGGGCCAACACCACCAAUCUGCCAGAGGAGCUGCUGAUAAAGCUACCCUUGAAAUAACCAGGUACUUGGACAACAAACUGCAUCCCUAGGAUUGGAUAGAAUGACACUGCAGAUUUACUUCAUCACUGAUUCGCAAGACCAAAGAAUUCAUCUCCCCUAAGCAUGGAUGGAGAAAAUGGUGGGGGAGGGUUUCUUUACAUUUUAUCAAAUAAACUUUCUAAACUGUACCUUC